AUUGAACGCUGGCGGUAUGCUUAACACAUGCAAGUCGAACGGUAACAUAAGAGAGCUUGCUCUCUUGAUGACGAGUGGCGGACGGGUGAGUAAUAUAUAGGAACCUUCCUCAUAGUUUAGGAUAAGCACUCGAAAGAGUGUCUAAUACUGGAUGUGAACUACGGUUUAAAGCAGGGGAUCUUCGGACCUUGUGCUAUGAGAUGGGCCUAUACAAGAUUAGCUAGUUGGUGAGGGUAAGGGGCUCACCAAGGCGACGAUCUUUAGCUGGGUUUGAGAGGAUGAUCAGCCACACUGGGGACUGAGACACGGGCCCAGACUCCUACGGGGAGGCAGGCAGUAGGGGGAAUCUUCGGCAAAUGGGACGAAAGUCUGACCGAGCAACGCCCGCGUGA
rnacentral:rRNA from 1 species